rnacentral:rRNA from 1 species
CCUACGGGAGACAGCAGUGAGGAAUAUUGGUCAAUGGCCGCAGGGCUGAACCAGCCAAGUCGCGUGAGGGAUGACGGUCCUAUGGAUUGUAAACCUCUUUUGUCAGGGAGCAAAGGGCGCCACGUGUGGCGCUUUGCGAGUACCUGAAGAAAAAGCAUCGGCUAACUCCGUGCCAGCAGCCGCGGUAAUACGGAGGAUGCGAGCGGUAUCCGGAUUUAUUGGGUUUAAAGGGUGCGCAGGCGGAAUGUCAAGUCAGCGGUAAAAUUUCGGGGCUCAACCCCGUCGUGCCGUUGAAACUGGCGUUCUUGAGUGAGCGAGAAGUAUGCGGAAUGCGUGGUGUAGCGGUGAAAUGCAUAGAUAUCACGCAGAACUCCGAUUGCGAAGGCAGCAUACCGGCGCUCAACUGACGCUCAUGCACGAAAGCGUGGGUAUCGAACAGGAUUAGAUACCCCAGUAGUC